rnacentral:lncRNA from 1 species
CACGCUCUCAAGUCUGCACACAGGAAAGGGUCCUGAUAAGAGGAUGGUACUGAAAUCGGGGGUGCCAGGUCUCAUUCGGCUCAUCGGCCUGGGUGGCCGAUGGGGUGGGACUGAGGCUGGGAUUUUAUUGUAGUGAUGACCUCCCCACCCCCCAAGGCGAGCACGCUCAGGGGUAGGAAGCAGGCUCUGGUUUUCGGUAGUCUUCCUGAAUGGGGAUGGCGCCCCCCUCUUCCUCCCUGGGGCAGCUGUAAGGACAAGGCUCUGCAGGCAUCACUGGACUUUCUUCUUUGUCUGCAGGAGGAGAAUCAGAGGCAGUAAAGGUGGGGGGUGGUGAAGAGCGUGGACAUGAGCAAAGGAGGGCUAGUUUGGGGGAGGCUGGCAGGGGGUGCCGACAAAGAGGCGAGAGAGAAGGUGGGAGCAAGGGUUGGUAAAGAUAGUGCGAGGGAGGCUUCCGAGAGGUUCCAGGCAUGGGUGGCGGGGCUAAGGAAGUAGGGUGGGGUGCAGGGACAGGACUGGAGACCUGCAUUUUGUCUCUUACUUAGUCCAUUUUUUCUUUGUUGAUGGAGGCACAGGGCUCCGACCAUGGUGAAAGCAAGAAACAUUCCAGAGAGGACCACAAAGAUGCGGAUGCAGUCUGUGCUGCACAGGGACCUUUGGGCUGUGGUAGACAGGGGCCACACAAGUGUUUUUGGGGAGGGCCUAGGUCUCGACUCUCCUCAGCCCAGGCCUCCUGUUACCCAUCUGCCAUCUCUCUCUCACCCCGAUCCCCACUGCUACCAUUGGACUAAGUCCUUUCCUAAUCUUUAGAUUCUGCUUCUCCUACUUCUUACUCCUACUCCAGGAGCUUUCUGGCUGACUUCCCUCUCUUGUAUGCAUUCUCUCUGGGGGUGGAGAAUGGGGAGGAAACUCACGUGGUCCGUGGGUAGAGAGAGCUGGGGCAGGCAGCCACCUGAAAUCAGCUAGAGUUUGCACCUGCCGGACUGUCCCGGCCUCUGGCAUCUCUGGAAAAAGAGACAGGGUGAGCAGCAGCAGGGCACCUCCCAGGGCACAAGCCUGGGCUGAAUGAGGGCCUGAGGCCUAAGAGGCGCUGGGUGAGAUGGGAAGGCUGACCAGCUGGCCGGGCAACUUAUGUGGGGAGGGUGCUGGUUGGGGGGGGGGUGCCCUUAUCCCUGUGACUGGACAAAGUGUUGCCUGGAACUUACUUUUGGCGUAAGGUAAGUGGGUGGGUUGUAGGUGUGGACCUGGGGCCUGAGAUGGACGAGGUGUCAGUGAGGGGUUUGAAGGAGGAUCACACUCGGUACACUCCUUGUCCCUGCACUGCCAGCCCUUGGGACAGGCACACUCUGCAUUGGCGGUGAGGGUGCAGUUUCGAAUGAGGAGACCUGGGGACAGAGGAGGGCAGGAGGAACACGAGAAGCUCAGGCCUCAGAGACCUGCAAGGUGCGCUCGCUAAAUCCUAUCUUGAGCUGCUGUCCCAGACCCGACUCCCGGAACUCCUGCCCCAUCUACACAAGGGCCUGCCCCUCCCUCGCUGUCACCCAGUGCCUCUGCCUUUAUUACUAUUGCCAUGAAAGGAAAAAUGUAGACCUUUUAGAAAAUUCAUGCUUCGGAAAUGCAAACUGGAAAAAGUAGAAACAGCUUGCAUGAUUUUCUCUCUUAUUCACUGAUACUUUUAUAACUUCUUGAAGUGUAAUUUACUUACAGAGAGGUACAGAGAUCAGAAGCGUCAAACUUGAGAAUUGCUACAAAUUGGACCCAUAGACAAGAGAAGCAGAGUUCCUUUCUAGUCACUACCUCCUCCCACCCACACAUAACCACUAUCUAGCCUGACUUCCUAACACUGCGAGUUCAUUUUGCUUCUUUUUGCACUACAUUUGUGUAGUCAUGGGUGUGUACUUACUUGUAUCAGGCACUCGUAUUCAAUCUUUGUGAAAUUCAUCCACAUUGUAACCAUAGGCUAUUCCUUCUCCUGCUGUAUAGUAUUCCACUGUAUGAAUUUCCCAUGAUUCAGUUAUCUAUUCUACUGCAAAUGGCACGUGGGUAGUGUCCAGUUUUUAAGCAAUCAGGAAUAGUGCUGCUAUGGUCCCUGAUAGGUUUUUACUUUUUAAUUUGUUUUUAAAUGUUCAUUUUUGAGAGGGGGGAGGGGCAAAAAGAGAGGGAGAGAGAGAAUCUCAAGCAGGCUCUGAGCUGGCAGUGCAGAGCCCGACGUGGGCUCAAACCCACAAACCAUGAGAUCAUGACCUGAGCUGAAAUCAAGAGUUGGACACUUAAGCAACUGAGCCACCCAGGUGGCCCCCUGAUAGGUUUUUAACUUUACUAGAGAUUUACUUCAUUACUAACACACUUUGCCUUUUUAAAAAAAAAAAAAUUUAAAUGUUUAUUUAUUUUUGAAAGACAGAGACACAGACAGAGUGCAAACAGAGGAGGGCAGAGAGAGAGGGAGACACAGAAUCUGAAGCUGGCUCCAGGCUCUGAGCUGUCAGCACAGAGCCCGACGCAGGGCUCAAACCCACAAACCGUGAGAUCAUGACCUGAGCUGAAGUCGGACACUCAACCGACUGAGCCACCCAGGUGCCCCUACUUUGCCUUUUAAAUAGAAAUGUUAUUCAAGUGUAGAGGUCGGGUGCUGAAUGACUGCCAAUAAAUUAUACUAGAGGAGGAGGAUGUGAGGGGUUCUAGUCUGGGUUGGACUCACAGGUGGUUGGGGUUAAGAAGAGGAGGGUGAUUCUGGGGAAGGCAUCGGCACCCGGACAUGGGCCAGGUUUGCCCAUGGACUGGUGGGACCUUAGGACAGUGCACUCAUGGGGAACCAGGGAGAAGAGCCCCCACAGGCAAGGAGGGGUGCAGAAAGGAAGGCUGGCAGAUGUCGAAGAUGCCUACUAGUACUCUAAUAUUCCUUUAGCAUGUGCUUUUUGUGAGGAAAGGGAGAGGGACACAAAUUCCUUCUUCCCAUCCUUAGGCCCCUAGGGCCGCUUCUUUCUGAAUUUUGACUCGUAGUUGCUACUAGAAUUUGGUUUCCUUGUGGCUUACCAGGAAUUGUGAGCCAGCCUGGACAAGGAUCUGCAAGAAGAGAACAGUGAUAGGGGAGAGGAGAAGAGGUAGGCAAAGGUGAGGAAGAUCACCUCAGACCCAGGAGGGGGUGGGCAGGAGGGUAUCUGCCCAAAGGCAAGAGAAGGGUUAAGGAGGGGGCUGGGCUUGGUUACAA